CCUACGGGUGGCAGCAGUAGGGAAUAUUGCUCAAUGGGGGAAACCCUGAAGCAGCAACGCCGCGUGGAGGACGAAGGUUUUCGGAUGGUAAACUCCUUUUGUUAGAGAAGAUAAUGACGGUAUCUAACGAAUAAGCACCGGCUAACUCCGUGCCAGCAGCCGCGGUAAUACGGAGGGUGCAAGCGUUACGCGGAAUCACUGGGCGUAAAGAGGGCGUAGGCGGGAUAGCAAGUCAGAUGUGAAAUCCUAUGGCUUAACCAUAGAACUGCAUUUGAAACUGUUAUUCUAGAGUAUGGGAGGGGUAGGUGGAAUUCUUGGUGUAGCGGUGAAAUCCGUAGAGAUCAAGAAGAAUACUGAUUGCGAAGGCGACCUGCUAGACCAUGACUGACGCUGAUGCGCGAAAGCGUGGGGAGCAAACAGGAUUAGAUACCCGGGUAGUC
rnacentral:rRNA from 1 species